rnacentral:rRNA from 1 species
AACGAACGCUGGCGGCAGGCCUAACACAUGCAAGUCGAGCGGACCCUUCGGGGUUAGCGGCGGACGGGUGAGUAACGCGUGGGAAUAUGCCCUUCUCUACGGAAUAGUCCUGGGAAACUGGGGGUAAUACCGUAUACGCCCUUUGGGGGAAAGAUUUAUCGGGGAAGGAUUAGCCCGCGUUGGAUUAGGUAGUUGGUGGGGUAAUGGCCUACCAAGCCGACGAUCCAUAGCUGGUUUGAGAGGAUGAUCAGCCACACUGGGACUGAGACACGGCCCAGACUCCUACGGGAGGCAGCAGGGGGGAAUCUUAGACAAUGGGGGCAACCCUGAUCUAGCCAGGCCGCGUGAGUGAUGAAGGCCUUAGGGUUGUAAAGCUCUUUCAGCUGGGAAGAUAAUGACGGUACCAGCAGAAGAAGCCCCGGCUAACUCCGU